CAGUUGCUGCUGACAGUCGGGACAACGAUGCUGAGGAUGUGGGGGACAAGCAUGACGCAGAAGGAGAGCACCAGCAUUGAUAUCGAGUUGGCCCAGCAACAGCACAAGGUCCGGCCUGCAGGAGCCCCAAUACGGAACCAUCCUUUCCCUCCCCUGAUCCCUAGCUCCUCCCUCUCGACCUCUGGCCACAAAGGGUCAGCAUCGUUACACAAGUCUGUUCUGCAAUAAAUCCUCAGCACGUCAAGUUUUAACGCGCUGUUAUGAACAACCAAAAUGUCCGCGUCGAGAUUUCCCCAAGCAAGCCCGAGUAGUUUUGUUUAGCUCUAGUGCCCGAGUGGGAUGAGUGUUACAGAAGCGAGACGUUAUAGCAGUACAUAUGGUAACGCAAACAGUUAACGCUAACAGUUAGUUCUGGCUGUGGACAUCAUGAAGAAUCUCACAAAGAAUUAAAUGUUGAAUAAUUUGUUUCAUUCUUUAUAAGACACAGGGUUCGCACAGGGCUUGAAAAGUGCUUGAAAACGAGUCCUAGGCUUGAAAAGCCCUUGAACAAAGGUUGGCCUUAAAACAGUGCUUGAAAAGUGCUUAGUUCAUGUAAAAAAGCCUUGAAAAUGUUUAUUUCUGCUCAAAAUUACUUUUAUCAUGGCUUUAAUUAUAAACUUAAAUCGUUCUUAUGGGCAAUAUUACGAAAAUGUAUCAUAGAUUCCUUCGCGCAAAAAGUUGAGUACGAAAUAUAAGUUUCGUACAAUAUUGAGUACGAAAUGUUAUGUGUACACGUCACAGAUUAUGUGUGCUACGUCAGAGGUUCUCCAUUGUGAUCAAUUUACGCGAGUGAAAACGCAGCAAUGGGGAAGUGUCGUUUCAAACCAGGGUGGUUAACUGAAUAUUUCUGGGUACAGAUAACAAAUGACAUUCGAAAAGCACAUUGUUGGGUCUGUAUAAAGACCAUUGAUGUCGGGGGUAUGGAGGAAAGCGCUUUGAAAAGCCACAAGAAAGUGAAAACCCUCAAAGAAAACAUGAAAUUGAGAAGCAAACAGGGUUCCUGCGAUGUGUUUUUUGUUAAACAGGAAGGUACUAUUGUUAAAACUGUUAAAUCUAAAACAGACUUAAAAAACAACAGCCCAUCUGUGUUGAACCAGGAAGGCACAGCCACAUGCAGAGAGUGUGCAGUUAGAAGAUUCAAAUUCCAGGACCUUCGCAACUUUGAGCUGUAGUAUCAAACUCGCAGACAUCCAUAGACAAAUUCGUUUAAAAAAAUGAUAUGUUGAACACGAAAGUAUUGUGGGUAUUUAUACCGUUUGCACACAACCAUCCUUUAAUUCCAAUAAAAACAUUACAAAGUUUUUUCAGGUUGUGAAGUCCUUGAAAAGUGCUUGAAUUUAGGUUUGAGAUUUCUGUUUGAACCAUGAGACAGCUAUAUAUUCAGCAAGGAACGAGAGCAAAUCAAGGAACAAUCGAAACGAUUCAUUCAGAAGUGUAUCUGCUGUAGAUAGUUAGGACAGUAGUAGCGUUACGGACUGUCCUCAGCGCACAAUAUAUUCAUGUGGUGCGCCUCAGACGCGAAUUCCGCCAUUAUUAAAAACAAGUUGCUAAAAGUAAACACGUCCGGUUUUGUUACGAGCACUUUGCACUUCGAGCCCAAAGGGCAUUGCAUUGAAUUGAGACUAAAGAAGGCUUGAAAACAUGACACCAGUUUUGUUGUAAGGUCCAGUACGCCCUUCGACUCUCAACCCGAAGUUUAUCAGAACUCAAACUUGGCCCUUAACAAUAUCCGCGAGGCCAGCAUAUCAGCUCAGCUUCUGAGCUUCAGCAAACACUAUAAGCCGCCAAGAUAAAAACAUCGUUGAAGUGAAAGUCGAUGACAAUUCUGACCCCUAUGCUUAAGUAAUUCAGCACAAAAACAUCUUGCCUCAGAGUAGCAAGCCCCCAAACAUCUUCUCCCAUGUUGGCUUCAUCAACACUUCUUACAGUGGAGCCUUGGCAAGUUCGACUUCCAUCCCAGCAUUGAUGUUGCUUAGCAACAAUUCAAUGCUGUGAUACGACAAAUUGUUCCAGACGAGUCGCUUACACAGAUAGAGCAGGUGUUGCGUGACUUGUCCCUUAUUGCGACUGACCUCGAUAACUUCAACUACUGUUGCUCUCGAAUAAUGUGAACCAUAUGCCAGUAUGCGAUUGAUGCCAUUUAACAACAGUUGUUGUUGAGAAUUCCCGGGUUUGAGGUGGCAACUUUGGCGCCGGGACUCGCUCCAUCUCUGUCUACGGCCCGGUCGAAGCAGCAGCAGCAAUAAGAACAACAAGUAGUAUCUGAGCGGUGCUCUGGGAUACAGGGCUUCAUAGCUAGUUCCUAGCAAUCAUAGAUCGGUACCCUGCUGAAAAACAGGAUCUCUGGUCAGCUGGGCCCAGAUGCCCAGCAACACUUCCUGGCCCAGGACCUUGGCGCAAAUGCUCAACAUGUCCUAUCUGCAUGGUGAAGCUAGUCUUAUUCUUGGGCUCCAAACUCUCCUGCUGUGGGGCCAAGAUUACCUCAUCCAUAAGAGGGCUUAUACUCACAAGUUCAGGCCCAGAGAACGGUGUUCCCCAACUACAACACAACUAGUACGUCUCAAUAGAGGACACCCUUCCUGAAAACCUCGCUGGGUGCAACUGCGCAAUACGUGACCCUUUAGUGAAAUGAGAUACCAGGCGGAAUGUCAAACCGGUACUACUCCGGUCUCCAGCAAUCGCCUCAGCCUUGGACGCAGGUUCAUGAUGCACCCAUGGCCUUACUUAUUUCUGAACAUCUCAAUCUCAAAGCAAUUGAUGUGAAUUAAUGAUAAUAAGACUCCACAAACCACGUUUUGGAGAGGGUAUAUUGGAGUCAAUUUUCUUAUCUCACUAUAAUGGGAAAUCAGAAGAUAUGAAACUUAUAUUCUACCGGUCAAGGGUCACCCCACAACGUUCAGUGCCUAGCGAUGAAAUCAUCCACCGUUACAUGUAGUUGCUUCAAUGCAUUGAAUGCAUUCACAGUUUCCACACGCUUUACAACUCUAGAACAUCGUGGGCACAAGAAAACCUGGGUAGCAGAGUAAUUAGUAUGUCCCAGGAGCAUUUGCUGUCAUCUUCUCCAGAUUAUGAGAUCCCCAUGCUCCACAACCCUCAGUCUAUGAACAUCAUGCAGAGCGAACCUUGGACGUCCCUUGACGAAAUCAAACCAGCAAAUCAGAAGGACAGCCUGUUGCUACCGUUGUUAUCAUAUUAACCCCAUACCGAAGAAGCUCAGAGAUAUAAAUGCUGUUUAAUAUGUGCUAGUCUCAACAUACCCCGUGUCUGGUGUGAACAUGUACAAUUGAAGGUCUCUACAAACCCCAUGUCUGGUGUGAACAUGUACAAUUGGAGGUCUCUACAUACCCCAUGUCUGGUGCGAACAUGUACAAUUGAGAGCUCUACAUACCCCAUGUCUGGUGUGAACAUGUACAAUUGAAGGUCUCUUCAUACCCCAUGUCUGGUGUGAACAUGUACAAUUGAAGGUCUCUACAUACCCCAUGUCUGGUGUGAACAUGUACAAUUGAAGGUCUCUUCAUACCCCAUGUCUGGUGUGAACAUGUACAAUUGAAGAUCUCUACAUACCCC